GCUCUUGUAGCGAAGUGGUAUCGCACGUCCUUGGUAAGGACGGGAUCGCGGGUUCAAUUCCCGCCAAGAGCU
rnacentral:tRNA from 1 species